AGCAGCCGCGGUAAUUCCAGCUCCAAUAGCGUAUAUUAAAGUUGUUGCAGUUAAAAAGCUCGUAGUUGAAUUUCGGGAUCGAUAUGUCGGUCGUGCUUCGGUACGUACUGUCAUUACCGGUUUCUACCUUCUGAAGAACCGCGAUGUCAUUAAUUUGGUGUCGUGGGAAAUCAGGGCUGUUACUUUGAAAAAAUUAGAGUGUUUAAAGCAGGCUCGCGCUUGAAUACAUUAGCAUGGAAUAAUGAAAUAGGACGUUUGAUUCUAUUUUGUUGGUUUCUAGGAUCGACGUAAUGAUUAAUAGGGAUAGUUGGGGGCAUUAGUAUUCAAUUGUCAGAGGUGGAAUUCUUGGAUUUAUUGAAGACUAACUACUGCGAAAGCAUUUGCCAAAGAUGGUUUCAUUAAUCAAGAACGAAAGUUAGGGGAUCGAAGACGAUCAGAUACCGUCGUAGUCUUAACCAUAAACUAUGCCGACUAGGGAUCGGAUGAUGUUAAUUUUUUAAUGACUCAUUCGGCGCCUUAC
rnacentral:sRNA from 1 species